ensembl:lncRNA
AUGAACACUAUAAGAAGAGAGCAGGAGCAAUUGCUUAAUGAGGCAAAAUUACAUAAUUGGAUUACUAAGAGAGAAUAUGAGUUUUUGCUUUGUCAACACCCACGUUAUUCUACUUUUUAUAUGCUCCCCAAAGUCCACAAGGAUCUGGAAAAUCCACCUGGCAGACCGAUAAUCAGCGGGAAUGAUUCAAUAACAGAACCUGCUUCCAAGUUUGUGGAUUAUUUUAUCAAGCCAUUUGUGGCAGAUUUACCUUCUUAUAUUCAAGAUACUACACAGGUUUUAAAGAAAAUUGAACAAAUAGGUAACAUAGGCUCCUGCAUUAUGGCCACAAUGGAUGUGGAGUCUCUAUACAGCAAUAUUGUACAUAACGAGGGUUUAGAGGCUUUGAAACACUUUCUCUCAUCCAGACCUGAACAUUUGAUGCCUCCCAGUGACUUUAUAGUGCAACUUACUGAGUGGACUUUAAAGAACAACAUCUUUCUCUUUCAAGACAAAUUGUAUAGACAAGAAAAGGGGACUGCAAUGGGUGCUUGUUUUGCUCCCAACUAUGCCAAUCUGUUUCUAGGCUUAUGGGAGGAGCGCUAUAUAUUUUCCCACGUCAACCCUUUUAAAGAUAAAAUCUUGUGGUGGGGUAGAUAUAUUGACGAUGUGAUUUUGAUGUUCUCAGGUUCAGAAAAAGAACUUGUAGACUUCCAUGUAUAUGUUAAUAGCUUAAAUGAGAACCUAAAAUUUAGUCUGGACUAUGAUUUACACACUAUUAACUUUCUUGAUCUACGGAUCUCAAAAGAUAAUGAGGGAUUCUUACAUACAUCUAUCUUCAGAAAGUCAACAGAUCGUAAUACCUUGCUGCAUGCUAAUAGUUUUCAUCCCCCAUGGCUUAUUGAUAACAUACCCUUUGGACAGAUCCAGAGACUAAGGCGUAUAUGUGAUUCAGAUCAGGAUUUCCAGUAUCAGUCUUUGGAUAUGCAGCGGCGUUUUCAACAAAGAGGUUAUCAAACAAAAACUCUUGUUCAAGCUCAUAAUCGAGCCCAAUCACUUGAAAGGAAGAGCUUGCUUCAGUCUAGACCCAAUAGAGUAUCAACACAGAAACCCUAUUUUGUCACUCAUUACAGCAAGGAGGCUGUCCAGAUUAAACACAUUAUAAAGAAAAACUGGAACAUUAUUGAAUGUGACCCGACUUUACGGGAAAUAUUCACGGAACCCCCUGGAAUCAGUUUUAGGCUAAGAAAACUGCAUUUUUAUUAA